rnacentral:rRNA from 1 species
AGCAGCCGCGGUAAUUCCAGCUCCAAUAGCGUAUAUUAAAGUUGUUGCAGUUAAAAAGCUCGUAGUUGAAUUUCGGGGUUAGUAGGUUGGUCAUGCCUCUGGUAUGUACUGGUCUCACUGAUUCCUCCUUCCUGAUGAACCGUAAUGCCAUUAAUUUGGUGUUGCGGGGAAUUUGGACUGUUAACUUUGAAAAAAUUAGAGUGUUUAAAGCAAGCUAACGCUUGAAUACAUUAGCAUGGAAUAAUGAAAUAGGACGUUCGAUCCUAUUUUGUUGGUUUCUAGGAUUGACGUAAUGAUUAAUAGGGAUAGUUGGGGGCAUUAGUAUUCAAUUGUCAGAGGUGAAAUUCUUGGAUUUAUUGAAGACUAACUACUGCGAAAGCAUUUGCCAAGGAUGUUUUCAUUAAUCAAGAACGAAAGUUAGGGGAAUCGAAGACGAUCAGAUACCGUCGUAGUCUUAACCAUAAACUAUGCCGACUAGGGAUCGGAUGAUGUUAAUUUUUUAAUGACUCAUUCGGCGCCU